AUUGAACGCUGGCGGCAGGCCUAACACAUGCAAGUCGAGCGGAUGAAGGGAGCUUGCUCCUGGAUUCAGCGGCGGACGGGUGAGUAAUUCCUAGGAAUCUGCCUGGUAGUGGGGGAUAACGUCCGGAAACGGGCGCUAAUACAGCAUACGUCCUGAGGGAGAAAGUGGGGGAUCUUCGUACCUCACGCUAUCAGAUGAGCCUAGGUCGGAUUAGCUGGUUGGUGGGGUAAAGGCCUACCAAGGCGACGAUCCGUAACUGGUCUGAUAGGAGGAUCAGUCACACUGGAACGGAGACACGGUCCAGACUCCUACGGGAGGAAGCAGUGGGGAAUAUUGGACAAUGGGCGAAAGCCUGAUCCACCCAUGCCGGGUGUGUGAAGAAGGUCUUCGGAUUUUAAAGCACGUUAAGUUGGGAGGAAGGGCAGUAAGGUAAUACCUUGCUGUUUUGACGUUACCAACAGAAUAAGCACCGGCUAACUUCGUG
rnacentral:rRNA from 1 species